rnacentral:lncRNA from 1 species
AUUGACCCCUCACUCCCGCAAUGCCGAUACCCGUCACCCCUCACUGUAUUUGCUCCACAAUAUAAACAUCCUACAAGUCUCUGCUUCCACUCACCCCACGACAAACUCCAAAACCAAGUUAUAAGAAAAGUCUAAAAGACUUUCUGGGCCUCAGGUUCAAAAGAGCCCCACUCAGUCUCCUUUCAAAGUCGGCUCAGGUAGGUAGGUUCUCUCUCCCGUCUCCUGGAAGUCAAUGAAUGGAACUGUCGGAGUGGAAGGGAUGGGCAAGAUGGCACAAAUUCUCAUUCUAUUUGGCAUGGUUGUUUCCCAAAUAGCGGCAAAGGAUUAACGAGAGAGUGGAGAAGUGAGAGUGGAAGUGCUGUCUUAAGUCCCUGACAGAUAGCAAGAUCCAGGUAUGUUUUGGGAAGGAGGUUCAAGGUGGUAGAGGUUCUAGAAGGCUAGGUUAGCAGGCAUGUUGAGAAUGGAAGAGCAGUGUUUUGGAUGCCAUC